CGUGUAGGCGGUCGGCCAAGUCUGAUGUGAAAGCCCGAGGCUCAGCCUUGGAAGUGCGUCGGAAACUAGUCGGCUGGAGCGCGAUAGAGGAGGGUGGAAUUCCUGGUGUAGCGGUGAAAUGCGUAGAUAUCAGGAGGAACACCGGCGGCGAAGGCGGCCCUCUGGAUCGUUGCUGACGCUGAGACGCGAAAGCGUGGGGAGCAAACAGGAUUAGAUACCCUGGUAGUCCACGCUGUAAACGAUGGGUACUAGGUGUUCGGGGUAUUGACCCCCUGAGUGCCGCAGCUAACGCAUUAAGUACCCCGCCUGGGGACUACGGCCGCAAGGUUAAA
rnacentral:rRNA from 1 species